rnacentral:rRNA from 1 species
AACGAACGCUGGCGGCAGGCUUAACACAUGCAAGUCGAACGCCCCGCAAGGGGAGUGGCAGACGGGUGAGUAACGCGUGGGAAUCUACCCAACUCUACGGAAUAACUCAGGGAAACUUGUGCUAAUACCGUAUACGCCCUUCGGGGGAAAGAUUUAUCGGAGUUGGAUGAGCCCGCGUUGGAUUAGCUAGUUGGUGGGGUAAAGGCCUACCAAGGCGACGAUCCAUAGCUGGUCUGAGAGGAUGAUCAGCCACAUUGGGACUGAGACACGGCCCAAACUCCUACGGGAGGCAGCAGUGGGGAAUAUUGGACAAUGGGCGCAAGCCUGAUCCAGCCAUGCCGCGUGAGUGAUGAGGGCCCUAGGGUUGUAAAGCUCUUUCACCGGUGAAGAUAAUGACGGUAACCGGAGAAGAAGCCCCGGCUAACUUCGUGCCAGCCGCCGCGGUAAUAC